CCAGAUUGCAGGCUUUCUUAACUAUGAGUAUGCUGAGCUCUCUGCAAAAAUACUCGGGCCUAUGAGGGGCAGUAACAGGGAUCCACGGCCUUCUGAAGCAGCUCCCUGAGCUCUGGAGAUGAACGAAGGUGACCCGGUAUUGUGGAGGAGGAGGAGGAGCUUGUCCUUUGCAAGGCGGCAGGGCUCAUCUUUCCCAGUGAAUUAGGAUCAGCUGGGUCUGGCUUUUAGGAGUAGCAUGCCUGCCUAAAUUGCUGCACUUAAUCUCCUCCCAUCCUUUGAAGGAAAGUUCCAGUUCCUGCAGAUGUCCUUUGUUAGGAAGAAAUGGAAGUUUUCUGCCUUUUAAUCCAAGGUACUGUAAACUGCAAGCACUCAUCGACAGCAGAAUGAACUUUCCUGUGAGUACAAACUCAUCAUUCAGCUCUAAUGAUCCAGAGGAAAGUUUCAGACUAAUCCAUACAGGAAAAACGGCCGUGUCACCUCAGGACGUCAGUCAGAAUAGGAACUCUGUGCAAGGUCAUCCCGGUGGGAAGGAGCAGCCCUGUUUGUUCGUGAAGAAGCACCUAAUGUGUUCAAGGCCAGGUUUUGAAGCCAAGACCAUUGGUCCUGCCAGAGUGAAGAGUAUGUGCCCAGGUGAUCCCAAAGUCCACGUGAGUCCUGUGGAAUUCAGGAGUGGAUGUGAAGUCCUCACAGAGAGUCUCACAGAAAAAUAAAAUGAUACAGAACAUAAAGCGUCCGGUUAUUCACUCAAUUAUCUUCUCAACAGCGGUAAGCACAUUAGCAGGUCAUUUCUGGAGGUAAGGCAAUAUUUCUAAUACGGGAGAUGAAAAUUACAAAACAAGACCCUUCAAGUGGGGAAGUACCUUCUCUUGAGGAAUAGGCAGAGAGGGACACAGAGUGGGGGCUGCUUCUGGGCUGGGCAAACCCAGCAGCUGGUGUAGCUGAGCCAAGGCUCUUGCUAGCUAAAACUGCACCACUGCCUUGUUCUGUGGUGGUUUUAUUGUACCCUUGAGGGUCUGACUUCUCUGAUUAGCUUUUUUGUUACAUAGGAGUGAUACAUAAAGAUUUCCUUUUCUCAUCUCUGGCUAAAUAGAAGAUAACAGCUUCAUUAGGCAAUUGAGUGCUCUUCCAAUCAAACAGCAAUAUUCUGGCCCCUGGGAGCUUUCCUUAACCACAGAAUGCAAGCAGCUGUUCUAAUUGCACUGUGCUCGGGGCCCUCUGCAAGGGCAAUCAGGGCUGCUGGUUUUUCUGAUUGUAUCUUGUGAGCAGAGCAGAAGCAGUUCUGUGCCUUGGUUCCCUUUUUACAGUGAGGAUUUCCAAGGGACCUCUCUACAGUUCUGAUUAAUGAAAAUACUCUUGGGAUAUCAAACAAUAAUUUCUCUGUUAAGGAAUAAACACCACAGUGUUGGUGAUCUGAAACACUUAGAUGUAAAAAUUAUAAGUGGAAUGAAAUAGUAAAAUAAAGGUCUUGUUGUACUCAGGAGUGUGUGAGCAAGGGUGGGAAGGUCAAGGCUGAACACCUGUUUUCUUUCUGUGGCUGUUGUUGUAGCUGUGUACCUGCUCUUUAUAAAGAGCUAAUGAACCAUCAGUAGAUGCAGUAAGCAUGUUAAAAACAUGAGUAGCCUGUGAUCCAGGUGGCUAUAAACAUACUGGUUGAUGGUGAUAGAAAUGGACUUCAGGGCAGUUAUAAAUAGAGCUGAUUAAAAUAUGGAAAAACAGUUCUGCAAAGCAGAACAACCAAAGUUGUUUUCAGAUCAAAGAGUUUGAAAUAUGCAUUCUUAUAUGCAUAUAUAUAUAUAUAUUGUAAAGUUUAGAAAAUACUCCAUUCCAAUUCUGCUAUCUGUUAAAAAUAUCACAAAAAUUGAUAUUAAUAAUUUGCAUAGAUCAAACACCCUGUAAAAUGGACUGACGGUGUCUUCUCAAGGAGGGAGCAGAGUUUCUCUUGGGAGAUGGGAUCCUGCAGACCCUCUGAUCCUUUGUCCAUGUUAGGCUUGUGACUAUUUCUGCACACUUUGCAAGAAAUUCAAGGCAAGUCAGGUCCCAUUUACAUAUAUUGUUGCACCCCCUGCUCUCACUUCUAAAAUAUUAGUUAUUAGCAUCACCUGACUGGUAUUUCAGAGCUCUAAAGUCAUUGCAGUGGACAUGAGCAUCAUCCCCAUCACUAGUAGCAGGAGAAAGCAGCCAACACAGACAUGGACAGCCAAAGCCAAAACAAAUCUGCAAAAUCAUAGAAGCAUUCCUAGACAGAUGUACUGGUUUGCUAUGUUUCCUGUCAUGAAGGAGGAGGUUCUUGUUAAGGCUUUUUAAGAGACCAUGAGCUGCAGCAGAUACCACCUGUGUAUGGAGCAGAGCAGAAGUGAGUAAUAGCACCUCUAUGACAGAUACUCAGAUCCCUCAGGUCUUCCUGCUUUUACAUCUGCCAUGGCUGGAGAAAACUAUAGCUGUCCUAAAUUAUAGUUUAGAUUUAUAUUAUUGCAGGAAUGUCCUUAUCACAAAAGAAAACAAUGGAAGGAAAUCACCUUUCUCAUGAAAACUGCUGAGAGAUUCCCCACUGCAAGGAGAAAACUGGUGACAGAAGGGCUCUACAUCAAAAAGUAAAGGGAGAACACGGGAGAAAAUGACCCUCCUGCACCCAGAUUUUGUCACUUGAUCUACGUGGAUUGGGAAGGUUAGCAUAAGUUCAUCUGAUUUACGCCUCCAGAAACAUCGCAGCCACACUCACAUGGUUUGAUCAGUGUCACUCAUGGGACCUACGUACCCCUGUGCCUCCCCUGGUGUUCUCUGAGCAACUUGAGUGGACGGACAGCUUGGGAAACUUCAGGAAUGAAGGAGAAGAUGUUUAAGGGCAGAAAGUGAGGCAUAAGUUUAAUCAGUACAAAAUAUACCAGACGGUCUUUUAGUAUACAUAAUCCAGGAUGACGCCGAUGCUGACUGUGGGUCCAGGUGUUGGCUGUGAGCUGAAGGGAGUAUGGGGGCAAUGUGUUCAGUUUAUGGACUCCCUGGAGAGGAGUGCAGGUACAAAGUCCUGAAUCACUCUCACUGUGGUUUGUUUUUUGUUUUCCAUAUGAUUUUAUGGUUAAAAAUGAGAAAAGAUUUGCUAAGUCUAUCUAUGUAAAUUUCUCAUCUCCAAACCUGUAAUUCCAUAUUUUCCAUUUAAAGAACAGUUUUUCCCUUUUAUUUUAAGUAAACAAACAAAUAAAUAGAAAAUCAAGCCCCUUAACUAAUUAAUGGUGGCUUUUUGGCAUCACUGACUCUCAUAAACUUUGUCAGUGUCUGAUGGCAAUAAAUAGGAUUAUCUGUCUUUUACUCUGGGGAUAAGUAAACAUUGAGUAAUAUCAGUGGUCUUCUCAUAAACUUGUUGAAGACCAUUCUAGAACUAGAAAAUUGUGUGGGGUUACUUAAUAUUUACAGUAACAUGACACAGACUUCAUUAUCACAAGUCAAAUAAAUUCAUAUCCAUGGAAUAAUCAGUAAUUUCCUGUGGAGGCUGCUGGAGAUUAUUUUGGCUGGGGAGAACCUCCAUUUCCAGUUUUUCUUACUGAUUCAGUUGGGCUUACAGGAAUAAGCAAGGUCUUGCUGUAAGCGCUGGAUACACUGACCAAAGCACUGGGGGAGUAUGAUAUUUUCCAGGCUGUUGUUUGAGUGGUGUUAAGAAAAGCUAUAUUGAAAUGUAAGCUCUUCGUAAGGGUGCGCAGAUGGUAUUCUCUGAUUGCUAUGGAGAAGUCUCUUCUCCCAGUAGGGAACGUAACUCAUCUGCCCCACUGAGAGCUGUGCAUGCUGGGCAAGGAUGGAAACAGAUAGGCAGAGCAGCAGCCCCUGUCAGCUUUGAGCACAGUGUUGGGCUUUGCUGAUUGUGUGCAAGUAAAACUUUGAACAGGAAAAUCAAUUAAGUUCAGGUUGGUGCAAUCAAAGUCUAGAUGAAGAAAAUCAAAAUAAAUCAACAUCAGUUUGCCUCUGACCUGGAAAAGAGGAGAGGAGUGCCUUUUAACAGUGUAGAUGGAUAUUCACAACAGCAAUCUGAGCUUUGAAGCUUGUUUCUAUUUACAGGCAGACAAGAGUGGCUUGUAUCAGGGAACUGAGAGGUGAGUAUAGUUGUCUAAUGUAGGACAGAAGGUGUGAUUUGGAGUUUUUAAUAGGCCUUGAUACUACUUUGUCAGUGGGAUUACAUUCAGGUUUUCAGUCUGUUAUCAACUGAUUUCAUAUGCAAGAAUGUAAUUGUUAAUUUUUUUGCUUAGUGGCCUGUUUGGCACCUGUUCAGGUAAUAGCUGUGCCUUGGCUUCAAACUUUUUUGAUAUCUUCGUGAAAAUGACACUUUUACCCUUUCUUGUAAAAUCACAGCAGUCUGAAAUGUGGUGUCGGUACUUCCAAGUACCAGAGAAGGGUGAAGUCUUAUUCCAGUUCCAGCCAAGAAAUUAGAGAAUUAAGCUUUCAAAGUAGCUCAGAG
ensembl:lncRNA